UCCCGGUUGGCCCGGGCAGUCUCGCCUGAAAAAUUCAACAGACGACAAGGGUUGCGCUCGUUGCGGGACUUAACCCAACAUCUCACGACACGAGCUGACGACGGCCAUGCAGCACCUGUCACCAGGUUCCCGAAGGCACAGCGCUGUUUCUAGCGCCUUCCUGGGAUGUCAAACCUUGGUAAGGUUCUUCGCGUAGCUUCGAAUUAAACCACAUGAUCCUCUGCUUGUGCGGGUCCCCGUCAAUUCCUUUGAGUUUUAGCCUUGCGGCCGUACUCCCCAGGCGGCAUACUUAACGCGUUAGCUUCUCAGCACAGGGGGUCGAUACCCCAUACUAAUAGUAUGCAUCGUUUACGGCGUGGACUAC
rnacentral:misc_RNA from 1 species